CCCGCACAAGCGGUGGAGCAUGUGGUUUAAUUCGAUGCAACGCGAAGAACCUUUACCUACCCUUGACAUGUCCGGAACUUGCCAGAGAUGGCUUGGUGCCCGAAAGGGAAUCGGAACACAGGUGCCGCAUGGCUGUCGUCAGCUCGUGUCGUGAGAUGUUGGGUUAAGUCCCGCAACGAGCGCAACCCUUGUCAUUAGUUGCCAUCAUUUAGUUGGGCACUCUAAUGAGACUGCCGGUGACAAACCGGAGGAAGGUGGGGAUGACGUCAAGUCCUCAUGGCCCUUAUGGGUAGGGCUUCACACGUCAUACAAUGGUCGGUACAGAGGGUUGCCAAGCCGCGAGGCGGAGCCAAUCCCACAAAGCCGAUCGUAGUCCGGAUUGUUCUCUGCAACUCGAGAGCAUGAAGUCGGAAUCGCUAGUAAUCGCAGGUCAGCAUACUGCGGUGAAUACGUUCCCGGGUCUU
rnacentral:rRNA from 1 species